AUUUAUUCGAAGCCUCAGUUGGCCACAUUUUGGUACUACGCCAAGGUUGAGCUGAUUCCUCCCACCCCUGCUGAGAUCCCUAGAACUAUUCAGAGCCUGAAAGAAAUAGUCAAUAGUGCUCAGACUGGUAGCUUCAAACAACUCACAGUUAAGGAAGCUAUGCUGAAUGGUUUGGUAGCCACUGAGGUGUUGAUGUGGUUUUAUGUCGGAGAGAUCAUAGGCAAGCGCUUCGUGUAGGGAAAGAGUAAGUGA